GUGUGUGUGUGUGUGUAGGUGUGGUUUAGUGUGUGUGUGUGUGUAGGUGUGGUUUAGUGUGUAGGUGUGGUUUAGUGUGUGGUGUGGUUUAGUGUGUGUGUGGUUUAGUGUGUAGGUGUGGUUUAGUGUGUGUGUGUGUGGUUUAGUGUGUGUGUGUGUGUGGUUUAGUGUGUAGGUGUGUGUGGUUUAGUGUGUGUGUGUGGUUUAGUGUGUGUGUGUGGUUUAGUGUGUGUGUGUGUGUGUGGUUUAGUGUGUGUGUGUGGUUUAGUGUGUGUGUGUGGUUUAGUGUGUGUGUGUGGUUUAGUGUGUGGUGUGGUUUAGUGUGUGUGUGUGGUUUAGUGUGUGUGUGGUUUAGUGUGUAGGUGUGUGGUUUAGUGUGUGUGUAGGUGUGGUUUAGUGUGUGUGGUUUAGUGUGUGUGUGUGGUUUAGUGUGUGUGUGUGGUUUAGUGUGUGUGUGUGGUUUAGUGUGUGUGUGUGUGGUUUAGUGUGUGUGUGGUUUAGUGUGUAGGUGUGGUUUAGUGUGUGUGUGUGGUGUGGUUUAGUGUGUGUGUGUGGUUUAGUGUGUGUGUGUGGUUUAGUGUGUAGGUGUGGUUUAGUGUGUGUGUGUGUGUGUGUGGUU
ensembl:lncRNA